GGAGGCUUAGCUCAGUUGGCAGAGCACCUGGAUCACAGCCAGGGGGUCGUCGGUUCAAGCCCGGCAGUCUCCA
rnacentral:tRNA from 1 species